AUACGGAGGAUGCAAGCGUUAUCCGGAUUUAUUGGGUUUAAAGGGUGCGUAGGCUGACGUGUAAGUCAGAGGUGAAAUGUCCGGGCUCAACCUGGGAACUGCCUUUGAUACUGCAUGUCUGGAGUUCGGAUGCCGUGGGAGGAAUGGGCAGUGUAGCGGUGAAAUGCAUAGAUAUUGCCCAGAACACCGAUUGCGAAGGCAUCUCACGAAUCCGACACUGACGCUGAGGCACGAAAGCGUGGGGAUCAAACAGGAUUAGAUACCCUGGUAGUCCACGCAGUAAACGAUGAUAACUAACCGUCGGCGAUAGACAGUCGGUGGCCAAGCGAAAGCGAUAAGUUAUCCACCUGGGGAGUACGUUCACAAGAAUGAAACUCAAAUGAAUUGGCGGGG
rnacentral:rRNA from 1 species